rnacentral:rRNA from 1 species
ACACAUGCAAGUCGAGCGGAACGAGUUAUCUGAACCUUCGGGGAACGAUAACGGCGUCGAGCGGCGGACGGGUGAGUAAUGCCUGGGAAAUUGCCCUGAUGUGGGGGAUAACUAUUGGAAACGAUAGCUAAUACCGCAUAAUGUCUACGGACCAAAGAGGGGGACCUUCGGGCCUCUCGCUUCAGGAUAUGCCCAGGUGGGAUUAGCUAGUUGGUGAGGUAAUGGCUCACCAAGGCGACGAUCCCUAGCUGGUCUGAGAGGAUGAUCAGCCACACUGGAACUGAGACACGGUCCAGACUCCUACGGGAGGCAGCAGUGGGGAAUAUUGCACAAUGGGCGCAAGCCUGAUGCAGCCAUGCCGCGUGUAUGAAGAAGCCUUCGGGUUGUAAAGUACUUUCAGUCGUGAGGAAGGCAAUAUA